rnacentral:rRNA from 1 species
CGAAUGGGGAAACCCAGCAUGAGUUAUGUCAUGUUAUCGAUAUGUGAAUACAUAGCAUAUCAGAAGGCACACCCGGAGAACUGAAACAUCUUAGUACCCGGAGGAAGAGAAAGAAAAUUCGAUUCCCUUAGUAGCGGCGAGCGAAACGGGAAGAGCCCAAACCAACAAGCAAGCUUGUUGGGGUUGUAGGACACUCUAUACGGAGUUACAAAGGACGACAUUAGACGAAUCAUCUGGAAAGAUGAAUCAAAGAAGGUAAUAAUCCUGUAGUCGAAAAUGUUGUCUCUCUUGAGUGGAUCCUGAGUACGACGGAGCACGUGAAAUUCCGUCGGAAUCUGGGAGGACCAUCUCCUAAGGCUAAAUACUCUCUAGUGACCGAUAGUGAACCAGUACCGUGAGGGAAAGGUGAAAAGCACCCCGGAAGGGGAGUGAAAUAGAACCUGAAACCGUGUGCUUACAAGUAGUCAGAGCCCGUUAAUGGGUGAUGGCGUGCCUUUUGUAGAAUGAACCGGCGAGUUACGAUUUGAUGCAAGGUUAAGCAGUAAAUGUGGAGCCGUAGCGAAAGCGAGUCUGAA